CGAACGGGUGAGUAAUACAUCGGAACGUGUCCGCUCGUGGGGGACAACCAGCCGAAAGGUUGGCUAAUACCGCAUGAGUUCUACGGGAGAAAGAGGGGGACCCGCAAGGGCCUCUCGCGAGCGGAGCGGCCGAUGACUGAUUAGCCGGUUGGUGAGGUAACGGCUCACCAAAGCAACGAUCAGUAGCUGGUCUGAGAGGACGACCAGCCACACUGGGACUGAGACACGGCCCAGACUCCUACGGAAGGCAGCAG
rnacentral:rRNA from 1 species